rnacentral:rRNA from 1 species
AGAGCGAACGCUGGCGGCAUGCUUAACACAUGCAAGUCGCACGGUCGGGGGUAACCUCGGCAGUGGCGGACGGGUGAGUAACGCGUAGGGAUCUAUCCUUGGAUGGGGGGACAACCGUGGGAAACUACGGCUAAUACCGCAUGAAGCCUGAGGGCUAAAGCUCGCGAGAGCGUCUGGGGAGGAGCCUGCGUCCGAUUAGCUAGUUGGUGGGGUAAAGGCCUACCAAGGCGGUGAUCGGUAGCUGGUCUGAGAGGAUGAUCAGCCACACUGGGACUGAGACACGGCCCCAGACUCCUACGGGAGGCAGCAGUGGGGAAUAUUGGACAAUGGGCGCAAGCCUGAUCCAGCAAUGCCGCGUGGGUGAAGAAGGUCUUCGGAUUGUAAAGCCCUUUCGACGGGGACGAUGAUGACGGUACCCGUAGAAGAAGCCCCGGCUAACUUCGUGCCAGCAGCCGC